UAGGAUUCCAUGCGUUAAGUGUUCAUCGGAUGGGGAGUUGUCGAGAAACGAAGAGUCAGAAAUGAUUUCUGCGAUGUGGAAUCCG
rnacentral:ncRNA from 1 species